rnacentral:rRNA from 1 species
UACGUAGGUGGCGAGCGUUGUCCGGAUUUAUUGGGCGUAAAGAGCUCGUAGGCGGUUUCGUUAGUCGGGUGUGAAAACUCUAGGCUCAACCUGGAGACGCCACCCGAUACUGCGAUGACUAGAGUCCGGUAGGGGAGUGUGGAAUUCCUGGUGUAGCGGUGAAAUGCGCAGAUAUCAGGAGGAACACCAACGGCGAAGGCAGCACUCUGGGCCGGAACUGACGCUGAGGCGCGAAAGCGUGGGGAGCGAACAGG